rnacentral:rRNA from 1 species
UACGUAGGGUGCAGGCGUUAAUCGGAAUUACUGGGCGUAAAGCGUGCGCAGGCGGUUUGCUAAGACAGGUGUGAAAUGCCCGGGCUUAACCGGGGAACUGCGUCUGAUACUGGAUGGCUUGAGUUCGGGAGAGGGAUGCGGAAUUCCAGGUGUAGCGGUGAAAUGCGUAGAUAUCUGGAGGAACACCGGUGGCGAAGGCGGCAUCCUGGACCGACACUGACACUGAGGAGCGAAAGCCAGGGGAGCAAACGGG